rnacentral:tRNA from 1 species
UCCCGUGUGACUCAGUGGUAAAGAAUCUGCCUGCCAAGCAGGAGAUGCAGGUUUGAUCCCUGGGUUGGGAA